rnacentral:lncRNA from 1 species
CAUUGGAGGAUUACAUUAUUUGGGCCACUCACAUUGUGUGACGCCCGGUGUUAUUCUUUUAUGUCGUUUCUUGUUGCAUCUGUUAAGACGAUUCCUUGCACGACAUGAACCCCGUAUAGCGCUUUUUUGCGAAAGGGUUGGGGCCUGCUUUGGCAAAGUGGUGUUUGAUAGUUUUGACAGCAUCGUCGCCAUCUUUGAUAUAGACAAGGACGGGGAUCUCGAUUGUUUGAGUGGUGCACGCACAUACUACGACAAGCAUUCGUCAACCGCUACCUACGUCUGGUUUCUUAAAGGUUUAAAUGGCCACAAAGCG